AAGAAGCUUCACCAACACGCGGGGUAACUUCGGCCGUGUCAGACCGCCGCCGUGGGUGUUGAACCUCGGAUUGAUUUGAGCAGGAGUUUUGGGACACAAGUUCACUAGCUGCGCAGAGCUGCAUGACGCAUCACGUGGUAGUUCGCCACUGUAUUCUGUUGACUCUGCGUCUUUGUGAACUUCUUGGAGAAGAGACUGCUUCAGUUGUUCAUGUACCAUCUGUUUUGUUAUUCUUCACUCAGUGCAUUUUAAGUUUUCCUCUCCUGGUG